rnacentral:lncRNA from 1 species
AGAGAUUCUUGCAGAGGUUAAAUGGCUCAAGUCCUAGGGAGGGGACGCUGUUGCUCAGAAAGAAAUACAAAGACUAGAUUCAUCUUGUUCAAGAAUUAUAAAUAGAACAGUCAGAUUAGAUUCAGCAGAGGAAUGGGGGCACCGCAAAGGAGCCAAGUUCUCUCCGAAUAAAGAGGCAAGGCUCCAAAGACUCCUAAAGCCCAGAAACAAACACAGCAGACUUUCAAAGAGGAAAAAGCAAAGACAGGAAUGAAGAAAAGCUUCAAGAAGUGUGCUUUUUCUCUUAACCCACAAGACCUUCCAGGUUUCCAUCAGAUGCAGUCUGCAAACUGGUGCAAGCCAGGAGGCUGCUGGAAGAGGGGCCCUGAUUUAACUGCAACCGGCUCUGCCUAAACCAGAACACUGCGUGGUAAGAACAAAGCAGUGGCACAGAGACUAAACUGGAGACUGUGCUGGGAGCCUCUGGAAAGCCCACUGGCUCCUGACUCAGAAGAACUGCUUCCCAGGUCUGCUUUCAGCAUUUACUGCCAUAUGGUCUCAGACAAGUCACUCCACCUCUCUGCACUACAGAUUCCCCAUCUGUUCUCAGUGAGUUUGGCUUCCAAUUACACCUUAAAAUUGUUUUAAGAGAGUAAUAUAAAAUACAAAAUCUAUAUAAAUGCCAUUGGUAGUCUAGGCAAAAAUGCCUUUCAAGGGGCCACUAAGUUUUCUACAAAGCCAGAGAUGAUAAGCUCUUCCAGUCUUCCCUCUUCUAAAGGAAGUCUGCAAAGGCAGUGAAGCAUGGAUAAUAAUAGCACAGGUUCUGUUAUAACAGGCUAAGAUUUGGAUCUCAGCUCUCUCAUUCACUAGGGUAUAACAUUGGAAUUUUUUUUUCCUUAAACUAUUUGUACCUCAAGAUUCUUCACUGUAGAAUAGAAAUAUUUCUGGCUUCACGGGUUUGCUGUGAAAAUUAAUAGGAAUGG